rnacentral:rRNA from 1 species
UACGGGGGGGGCAAGCGUUAUUCGGAAUUACUGGGCGUAAAGGGCUCGUAGGUGGCCAACUAAGUCAGACGUGAAAUCCCCAGGCUUAACCUGGGAACUGCGUCUGAUACUGGAUGGCUUGAAUUCGGGAGAGGGAUGCAGAAUUCCAGGUGUAGCGGUGAAAUGCGUAGAUAUCUGGAGGAACACCGGUGGCGAAGGCGGCGUUCUGGACAGUUCCUGACGCUGAGGCACGAAGGUCAGGGGAGCAAACGGG